rnacentral:lncRNA from 1 species
AUUCUGCAGGGGUGACGUCAAAACUGACAUUUCAAAAAAGUCAGAGAGAAUUAGUCAGUCCAUGCCCUGUCCCUACCGAAGAGGAAAGAUUUGCGGAAAAUUUCCUCUGGAUUCUGGGAGUUCUUGGGACUCCACUCCCUGCCUGUAAAGUUGCAGAUCAGAGAAACCGUCUCCCCUUCGAGAGAAGUGGAAGAGAAUGGUUUUCUGAAAGCAAUAGGACUGCAGAUGUUAAACUGAAUUUCUGACUGUCCAGGAGGAACCGGCAUGGAACCCGCAUGGUACUUCCUGCUGCGCUCUUCACACUUGCCAGGCCAAGGUUCUGUUACCUCAAGAUGGGGGUUAGUUUCAAGAGUAGCUGGAGGGCUUGUUUCCUGAGUCAUCUUCUUGUGAGCCCAUGCUCUGUGAAGGAGAAAGCAAAUAGUGUGUUUGUGACCAACUCUAUCAAGAGGACUCUUGUGAAAGCAGCAUGCCAGCUCCCCAGCCUGUCUCUGCAGGAACUACCACAGAACAACAACAGGCAACCUGGGCCUUCCCUAAGCACACUUAGAGGAGUUCCUGAACAUAUCUUAAAAGUUAUUUCUGUGAAUUUAUGGGAACUGGUUUUCAAGGACAAUGAGCAACUUCACAUUUAAUAAAUGAACCAAGUUCUUGUACCUGCUGUAAUGUCUUUCCUCCUCCACCCACUUCAAAUGAGGAGCACCCUGUUUACCUUUUGAACAAACUGGGGGUUCACCGUGAUCUCCUGGUCCAUAGCCUUCAGUCGCUCAUCCAGCUCUAUGCAU